rnacentral:rRNA from 1 species
GGAAUUUUCCGCAAUGGGCGAAAGCCUGACGCAGCAACGCCGCGUGCGGGAUGACGGCCUUCGGGUUGUAAACCGCUUUCAGCAGGGAAGAAGCGAAAGUGACGGUACCUGCAGAAGAAGCACCGGCUAACUACGUGCCAGCAGCCGCGGUAAUACGUAGGGUGCAAGCGUUGUCCGGAUUUAUUGGGCGUAAAGAGCUCGUAGGCGGUUAGUCACGUCGGAUGUGAAAACCCGGAGCUUAACUCCGGGCCUGCAUUCGAUACGGGCUGACUAGAGUGUUGUAGGGGAGACUGGAACUCCUGGUGUAGCGGUGAAAUGCGCAGAUAUCAGGAAGAACACCGGUGGCGAAGGCGGGUCUCUGGGCAACUACUGACGCUGAGGAGCGAAAGCGUGGGGAGCAAACAGGAUUAGAUACCCCUGUAGUC